rnacentral:rRNA from 1 species
UACGUAGGUGGCAAGCGUUGUCCGGAUUUACUGGGCGUAAAGAGCGCGCAGGCGGCCAAGUCAGUCGAAUGUGAAAGCCCCCGGCUUAACUGGGGAGGGUCAUUCGAUACUGCUCGGCUCGAAGACAGGAGAGGGAAGUGGAAUUCCCGGUGUAGUGGUGAAAUGCGUAGAUAUCGGGAGGAACACCAGUGGCGAAGGCGACUUUCUGGCCUGUUCUUGACGCUGAGGCGCGAAAAGCUAGGGGAGCAAACGGGG